AUUGAACGCUGGCGGCAUGCCUUACACAUGCAAGUCGAACGGUAACAGGUCUUCGGAUGCUGACGAGUGGCGAACGGGUGAGUAAUACAUCGGAACGUGCCCGAUCGUGGGGGAUAACGAAGCGAAAGCUUUGCUAAUACCGCAUACGAUCUACGGAUGAAAGCAGGGGACCGCAAGGCCUUGCGCGAACGGAGCGGCCGAUGGCAGAUUAGGUAGUUGGUGGGAUAAAAGCUUACCAAGCCGACGAUCUGUAGCUGGUCUGAGAGGACGACCAGCCACACUGGGACUGAGACACGGCCCAGACUCCUACGGGAGGCAGCAGUGGGGAAUUUUGGACAAUGGGCGAAAGCCUGAUCCAGCCAUGCCGCGUGCAGGAUGAAGGCCUUCGGGUUGUAAACUGCUUUUGUACGGAACGAAAAGACUCUGGUUAAUACCUGGGGCCCAUGACGGUACCGUAAGAAUAAGCACCGGCUAACUACGUG
rnacentral:rRNA from 1 species